UACACUCCUGCGGGAGGCAGCAGUGGGGAAUUUUGGACAAUGGGCGAAAGCCUGAUCCAGCAAUGCCGCGUGAGUGAAGAAGGCCUUCGGGUUGUAAAGCUCUUUUGUCAGGGAAGAAACGGUGAAAGCUAAUAUCUUUUGCUAAUGACGGUACCUGAAGAAUAAGCACCGGCUAACUACGUGCCAGCAGCCGCGGUAAUACGUAGGGUGCAAGCGUUAAUCGGAAUUACUGGGCGUAAAGCGUGCGCAGGCGGUUUUGUAAGUCUGAUGUGAAAUCCCCGGGCUCAACCUGGGAAUUGCAUUGGAGACUGCAAGGCUAGAAUCUGGCAGAGGGGGGUAGAAUUCCACGUGUAGCAGUGAAAUGCGUAGAUAUGUGGAGGAACACCGAUGGCGAAGGCAGCCCCCUGGGUCAAGAUUGACGCUCAUGCACGAAAGCGUGGGGAGCAAACAGGAUUAGAUACCCGGGUAGUCCCA
rnacentral:rRNA from 1 species